UGUGGAAGCCAUGGGUGCAUUGAAGCAUA
rnacentral:piRNA from 1 species